UAAUGGACACGUGAGGGCAAUCUGAAUUACACGUGAGUCUAGUAGUGAUUUACAUGUGAGUGUAGUAUCUAGUAAACAUAGUAGUAAUCACAAACCCAUUACGUGAUUUUUAAUUUUUUUAAUGUAUACAUACCUAACCUCGAAGUUCCAGACCGUCUCCAAAGAAAUGAUAGAAGGUCUGGAUCAACUUCUGAUCGAACCGAGUUCGGAAGUGAUCAAAGUCAGCCAAUCAGCAAGCUGCCGCCACUUAAGUGGCAGCCAAUGAAUGUCGAGGGUUUUGUCAUGACUUGCAUGGCUUCUGGCAAAGGCGUGUUCGACAAUUGCAUGCAUGUGCGUCUUUUUUUAUAUAUGCCAUGAGGUCUUUACCCAAUCAUCUGAUCAAUUUGACUACUUUAUAAUGCACUAUAUUGAGCCAGAUAUUACACUAACAUAACCUACACUUGACUAUAAUUUUCUGCAUGAAUUACCCAUGUCUAUACAAAACUUCUGCAUGCGUAUAGUAAACCCAUAAAAGCGUUUUUUUGUUUUAGAGGAAGGUGGAGGCGACAAAGCUGCACGCAAGCACCACUUUAGUGUUGCAAGAGCAGUUUUGGCUUGUGCACCUUGGUGUCCCAGCUAAACCCAAAAGCAAUGUCCGGAUGGAGCAUCUAUCUAGAACAGUCUAAGGUGUUUGCAAAGUUUACAGCAGGAAAUGUGGUUGGUGGAAAUUAUGAGCUGUAGAGAAUUUGAUGUUCAAGUUUUGUAAGAGAGGAUGUUGGAGUUGUGACUGGCUCAAGCACUCGUUUUGUAUCGAACAACGCUGCAUUCAGUUAUGAUCUUGAGGGUUAUGCUAACAUAUCUCAUCAGCUGAUCUAGAUCUAUUAUACCUAUAAAUCCAUCAAAUGCACGGCUACAGAGGAAGCAAAGGCAAUAUUCGAUUAGGAUGGGGUACACUAUCAUGGAAAGUAGAAGGUUGAAUUGGAUAGUGAGUUUACAUCUGCAACCUUUGAGUGGGAAGUGUCUAGGUAAUGGGAGUAAUUGCGGCUCUCACAGAGGUAUUUUUGCAACACCACAGUUAGGAGAAAUAUGGAUCAAUAAAAAUCAAUUAUGGUGGUAUUGGCUGCAGUAAACAAUUGCAAACUACCAAAAAGGACAACUGCAACUACUGUGAAUGGUUCUAUAGCAGACAAUCAAGACUACCAAAACAGACUGGAUUUCUAUUCAAGCACUGCAUGUUUUCUCUUCUGCUUGUAGACUGUUUUACUACUUGAGAUGGUUUAUUUUGUGUGUGAUAUCAUAUGGAUAUGUUUAGUCUAGACUCUUCAAUUUUACAAGCCUUUGUUGAAUGUGUCAGCAGCAACUUGUUAUCAAUGAUAUUCCUGAACGUUAUAAGAAAUAUACUGUGCAUAUACUUUACA